rnacentral:rRNA from 1 species
UACGUAGGGCGCAAGCGUUGUCCGGAAUUAUUGGGCGUAAAGAGCUCGUAGGCGGCUUGUCACGUCGGAUGUGAAAGCCCGGGGCUUAACUCCGGGUCUGCAUUCGAUACGGGCUAGCUAGAGUGUGGUAGGGGAGAUCGGAAUUCCUGGUGUAGCGGUGAAAUGCGCAGAUAUCCGGAGGAACACCAGUGGCGAAAGCGGCCACCUGGACUGCACCUGACGCUGACACGCGAAAGCUAGGGGAGCGAACGGG